UACGAAGGGGGCUAGCGUUGCUCGGAUUGACUGGGCGUAAAGGGCGCGUAGGCGGUUCGUACAGUCAGACGUGAAAUUCCUGGGCUCAACCUGGGGACUGCGUUUGAUACGUGCGGACUUGAGUGCGGAAGAGGGUCGUGGAAUUCCCGGUGUAGAGGUGAAAUUCGUAGAUAUCGGGAGGAACACCGGUGGCGAAGGCGGCGAUCUGGGUAGAUACUGACGCUGAGGCGCGAAGGCGUGGGGAGCGAACGGGG
rnacentral:rRNA from 1 species